CAGUAGCCGCGGUAAAACGGAGGGUGCAAGCGUUAUCCGGAUUUAUUGGGUUUAAAGGGUCCGUAGGCGGAUCUGUAAGUCAGUGGUGAAAUCUCACAGCUUAACUGUGAAACUGCCAUUGAUACUGCAGGUCUUGAGUAAAUUUGAAGUGGCUGGAAUAAGUAGUGUAGCGGUGAAAUGCAUAGAUAUUACUUAGAACACCAAUUGCGAAGGCAGGUCACUAAGAUUUAACUGACGCUGAUGGACGAAAGCGUGGGGAGCGAACAGGAUUAGAUACCCCGGUAGUCCCUGUCUCUUAUAA
rnacentral:rRNA from 1 species